rnacentral:rRNA from 1 species
GUGGGGAAUUUUGGACAAUGGGCGCAAGCCUGAUCCAGCAAUGCCGCGUGCAGGAAGAAGGCCUUCGGGUUGUAAACUGCUUUUGUACGGAACGAAAAGGCUCUGGUUAAUACCUGGGGCUCAUGACGGUACCGUAAGAAUAAGCACCGGCUAACUACGUGCCAGCAGCCGCGGUAAUACGUAGGGUGCAAGCGUUAAUCGGAAUUACUGGGCGUAAAGCGUGCGCAGGCGGUUUUGUAAGACAGGCGUGAAAUCCCCGGGCUCAACCUGGGAAUGGCGCUUGUGACUGCAAGGCUGGAGUGCGGCAGAGGGGGAUGGAAUUCCGCGUGUAGCAGUGAAAUGCGUAGAUAUGCGGAGGAACACCGAUGGCGAAGGCAAUCCCCUGGGCCUGCACUGACGCUCAUGCACGAAAGCGUGGGGAGCAAACAGGAUUAGAAACCCUGGUAGUCC